AGAGAUAGUGGACGUUACUCGCAGAAUAAGCACCGGCUAACUCUGUGCCAGCAGCCGCGGUAAUACAGAGGGUGCAAGCGUUAAUCGGAUUUACUGGGCGUAAAGCGCGCGUAGGCGGCUAAUUAAGUCAAAUGUGAAAUCCCCGAGCUUAACUUGGGAAUUGCAUUCGAUACUGGUUAGCUAGAGUGUGGGAGAGGAUGGUAGAAUUCCAGGUGUAGCGGUGAAAUGCGUAGAGAUCUGGAGGAAUACCGAUGGCGAAGGCAGCCAUCUGGCCUAACACUGACGCUGAGGUGCGAAAGCAUGGGGAGCAAACAGGAUUAGAUACCCUGGUAGUCCAUGCCGUAAACGAUGUCUACUAGCCGUUGGGGCCUUUGAGGCUUUAGUGGCGCAGCUAACGCGAUAAGUAGACCGCCUGGGGAGUACGGUCGCAAGACUAAAACUCAAAUGAAUUGACGGGGGCCCGCACAAGCGGUGGAGCAUGUGGUUUAAUUCGAUGCAACGCGAAGAACCUUACCUGGCCUUGACAUAGUAAGAACUUUCCAGAGAUGGAUUGGUGCCUUCGGGAACUUACAUACAGGUGCUGCAUGGCUGUCGUCAGCUCGUGUCGUGAGAUGUUGGGUUAAGUCCCGCAACGAGCGCAACCCUUUUCCUUAUUUGCCAGCGAGUAAUGUCGGGAACUUUAAGGAUACUGCCAGUGACAAACUGGAGGAAGGCGGGGACGACGUCAAGUCAUCAUGGCCCUUACGGCCAGGGCUACACACGUGCUACAAUGGUCGGUACAAAGGGUUGCUACCUAGCGAUAGGAUGCUAAUCUCAAAAAGCCGAUCGUAGUCCGGAUUGGAGUUUGCAACUCGACUCCAUGAAGUCGGAAUCGCUAGUAAUCGCGGAUCAGAAUGCCGCGGUGAAUACGUUCCCGGGCCUUGUACACACCGCCCGUCACACCAUGGGAGUUUGUUGCACCAGAAGUAGCUAGCCUAACUGCAAAGA
rnacentral:rRNA from 1 species